AGUGGGGAAUAUUGGACAAUGGGCGCAAGCCUGAUCCAGCCAUGCCGCGUGAGUGAUGAAGGCCCUAGGGUUGUAAAGCUCUUUCAGCGAGGAGGAUAAUGACGUUACUCGCAGAAGAAGCCCCGGCUAACUUCGUGCCAGCAGCCGCGGUAAUACGAAGGGGGCUAGCGUUGUUCGGAAUCACUGGGCGUAAAGCGCACGUAGGCGGACUUUUAAGUCAGGGGUGAAAUCCCGGGGCUCAACCCCGGAACUGCCUUUGAUACUGGAAGUCUUGAGUCCGAGAGAGGUGAGUGGAACUCCGAGUGUAGAGGUGAAAUUCGUAGAUAUUCGGAAGAACACCAGUGGCGAAGGCGGCUCACUGGCUCGGUACUGACGCUGAGGUGCGAAAGCGUGGGGAGCAAA
rnacentral:rRNA from 1 species